rnacentral:rRNA from 1 species
AUGAGAGCCAGCACUUCUCCAGGGCGCGCGUACCCGCUAAGCUUAUCAAGGAUCACAGCACGGCCCUUUCUCCCGUUCAUGGCCGUCACUGAGAGGUCUUUCCACGUCAGAAAUACCUCCGUAGUACCGGCCUCUACAUUGUCCACCACCCCACUGGCCGGCGGCGAAGCCUUCGAUGGGUCGGAGUCAGAGAGACAACGUGGGAAGAAGAUGGGGCUUGACGGCCACGCCGACCAGCCACGCCAUGAAACCAUGGCGGUGCUCGACGUCGUCGACCGGAGUGGCUUGGUAGGGCUCGGCGUCGGAGCCCAUCUCGGCAGUGGUGACGCUGUCUAA